rnacentral:rRNA from 1 species
ACAGUGAGGAUUGACAGAUUGAGAGCUUCUUUCUUGUAUUCUGUGGGUGGUGGUGCAUGGCCGUUUUGGUUGGUGGAUCGAUCCGUCUGGUUAAUUCCGUUAACGAACGAGACCUCGGCACUCCGAAUAGCGCGGCGGACGUCGCGGCCUCCGGGCCGUCUUCCGCGCGAGCUUCUUAGAGGGACCGUCCCCCGCCGGGGAAGGAGGUGCGAGGCAACGACAGGUCUGUGAUGCCCUUAGAUGUUCUGGGCCGCACGCGCAUUACACUGACGCGUCCAACGGGUGACUCCCGACCCCGAAGGGGCCGGGGAAUCCGCAAGGCGCGUCGUGAUGGGGAUUGAACGUUGCAAUUGUUGUUCACGAACGAGGAAUUCCUAGUAGGCGCGGGUCAUCAACCCGCGCCGAUUACGUCCCCUGCCCUUUGUACACACCGCCCGUCGCUCCUACCGAUCGAACGGUCCGGUGAGGACCCAGGACGGCGCGGGACCCGAGGGGCCGAAAGGCUCCGCGACCCGUGUCGGAAUCCGUCCGAACCUUACCGUUUAGAGGAAGG